UUCGAUCCACAUUGUCCUUGCUGAUUUUCUUUCCUCCUGCCGAAUCAAUUAGAUUUAUUUUUCCUGUUAUAAAGAUUCGAUAGUGUUUUUAUUGUGGUUGAUGACGGAUUCGCUUUAUAUAUAUAAUCUAUAAUCUAUAAAGCUUCUCAGUACCUGGAAAAUUGUGGAGCAUAGCAAAUGGGCAAGUUGGAACCAGCUUGGAAACAUGUCUUCCACAGAAGCCAUGCGUCUUUUUGUGAAAAUAUUGGAGGAAGAAGACCCUGGUUGGUAUUCAAGAGCAUCAAGCUCUGUUGUAGAACCUGUUAUAGAUGUGCAAAUGAAUGGUUUUGAAGAGGCAAAGGAUGAAGCAUUUCAGGUGCUUGAAUCAGUGGAAAAUGGUAAUGCCUUGGAUUGCAACUUUCUCAGUUUCUCUAUGUAAAAUACAGGGUUUUGAAGAGGCAAAGGAUCUGACUUCAAAAUUUCUUACACUGCAAUAAUUGAUGCUUUACUAAAAUGUGGCUCAGUUAAGGGUGACAACUGCUCUCGCAGUAUAUGCUAACUAGAGCUUUGAAGGAAUCAAGGAAAGGGGAUGGGAUUGGGCUGGUGUAAUCUAUCUAUUGUUUAUUUAGUGUUUCUUUAUGUUAAUAUCUCAAGUUUAACAAAUCUGAUGUAAAGAAAAUAUGUUAUAGUAAAGAGAUGGUAUAAACCAUUUGAGUAGUUAAUUAGCUUUUUUCUCAAAGCUCUUGUAUGAACUUGCGACAGUUUAAAACUGCCGCAUUUUUUUAAAAAAAACCCACAUAAAUUUGCGGCGGUUU